rnacentral:tRNA from 1 species
UAUUUUUUAGUAUAAGAAAUAUAAUUGAUUGCAGAUCAAAAGAUAAGAAAUUCUUAAAAAUAU